UCAAUGACAGUUCAUUCUUAGGAAUGAACUGUCAUUGCUAAAAGGUUUUACUGUACACUUUUAGCAACUGUAGGGCUGUAAAGAAUCUCAUUCUUUACAGUCACUGAAGGUUUUGGUUUUAUGGUGGCAAUUAGGGUCUAGUUUUUCUCAAAGAGCGGUCAGAUAAAAAAAAUAAAAAAGGUCAUGAAUAUUGAUGUAAAAUAAUUAAUCACACAGUCUUCUUUGCAUUAUUAUUAAAACUUAAAAUCCCAUUGAAAUUAAAAAUCUCUUUUGCAAGAGAAGCCUGGCCAAAACUGGGAGGAUCACACAGAGUUUACAGAUCAUUUACAGCAAAGCAGAAAAAGUUGACAUCAUAAAUAAAUUAGUUAAAAGAUUCCUCGGUCAAAAUAUUCACCGACGGCUGAUUCCUUCUCAAAAUCAGUAAGAACAUCCGUAAAAACAUUUAGUAACAGCCCCUUUAGGUUCAUGUAUUUCUGAAACUGGUUCCAAGAAGACGGAGCAGAACACUGAAAAUAUUUCUUUCCAACUUCAGAUUGGACGUUAGGCACCAAGAAUAAAAAUAGAGAAUAUCGUACUUUGGACUUUUUAUUUAUGGAGGUCAACACAUACGAAGGAAGACGUCCUACUAUAGCCUUAUAAGUAAAAAUAUACCAAUGAUUGAGUCUACCAAUGGCCAAGGCCAUCCAUGUGUAAAACCUUUGAAACCUGUUAUAAAUUUUAGCACAGAAAACAACUGUUCAUGUUAUUACAAUCUUAGGGGAAAGUAUUAGCGAGGACAGAAUAGAGUGAAAUCAUUCUUCAACCAUGGUCAUAAGAGAAAGUACGUCCUUUCAUAAUCACCCUGUGUCAAGGGAUCUUCACGGAUAUUCCUGCAAGCAAAAUUGCACCUGAAUUAAGCAUUAUCCAUAACUUAAAGGAGAAUCAAAAUCUCUAAGGCACCCAAGAAAGUAGAGCAAGUUCUAGGAUUGUCUGCUAAGCACUUCUCUAGAGGCACUUCUCUCAAAAACAUCAAGGAUACACUUGUUUUCUGCAAGAAGUACCAGGACUGGACUACAGAGGAGUGGGAUAACCCCAUUUUCUUUGAUUAAAACCUUUUUAAACUGCUUGGGAGUAUCGGGAACGAGGAGCAUCCUUA